AUUGAACGCUGGCGGCAGGCCUAACACAUGCAAGUCGAACGAGUGGCGGACGGGUGAGUAAUGUCUGGGAAACUGCCUGAUGGAGGGGGAUAACUCCUGGAAACGGUAGCUAAUACCGCAUACCAUCAGAUGUGCCCAGAAGGGAUUAGCUAGUUGGUGGGGUAACGGCUCACCAAGACGACGAUCCCUAGCUGGUCUGAGAGGAUGACCAGACACACGGAAAAGGAGAAACGGUCUAGACGCCGAGGGGAGGCAGCAGUGGGGAAUAUUGCACAAUGGUCGCAAGCCUGAUGCAGCCAUGCCUCGUGUAUGAAGAAUGCCUUCGGGUUGUACAGUACUGUCAGCGGGGAGGCGUUACCCGCAGAAGAAGCACCGGCUAACGCCGUGCCAGCAGCCGCGGUAAUUC
rnacentral:rRNA from 1 species